UUCAAACAGUUACUGCCCUUAGAGAUCAGAUGUUUGGCUGAUUCAUUCAGUAAGCUACAACUUUCCUCACCGUGCUGGUUUUUCAAGUAGGAACUAGCUUCUAGGCCUUUUCUUAUGAGAAGAAUUCUCAAAUGAGUAAAAGCUUCUCAUUCCCAAUCUUAUGUGGCUCCAGGAUUUUCACUGAAGGAAUAAUAAGGAAGGAGCCGGCGUGCAAUUAGAUUAACAAUCUUCCCAAGAAAGGACCAGGAGCUGAAUGACAGGAAAGAGAAGUUCAUUGGCACAUCAGAAGGCACAGAAAUGAAAUGCUUUGCCUAAGGUCACACAUGGUGGAAGAUAGCCCAAACCUCCUGAGUCCCAGUCCUCACAUCACAACUUCUUCUUGAUCAAGACAUGGAGGCCCGAGAGUUAUCCAAAAAGAUUUGCAAGAUUUUUUGUUGUUCUCAGUAAUUGCUGAACUACUUUUGAUCAAACUUUCCUAAAACCUUCACCCUUGGCUAAAGAUCCCAUCUGGAAAACGUCAGCUAGAAAGCUCUACUCACGCCAAGACAAAGGAAGCAUCAUUGAGCUCGCAGAGGUGUCUGACUCAGAGGAAUCCAACCAGACUGCUGUAAUCAUAUGUGCUACAAGAAUGUGGAGUCGGUUCUCCCUUUGGCAUGUGUACCUAAGUCUCAUCAGUCUCAACAUAAAUUCUGCAUGAAGGGGAGAAUAAACAUUGAAAGUUUUUAAACAGUCCAAGUGCCCGCUCCUAAUUGAACGUGGCUGCUGUGGAGAGCUGACUACAUCUUCAAAACACAGCUGUGUGACAGGUGAAGCAGCCCACAAUGAUAAAUGUUAGGUUUAGAACUUCAAGAUUACAACCUACUGAUGAACUGUCAUCGAAUGAGAUUCCAUUUUCCACUCCUGACGACAUUUUAAUUUUUACCUAUUUAAACCAGAGUUACCAAAAACAUUUUCCUACCAGGAACAGAUGCAGUAGAUGCACAUUUUAAAAUAUUUAAUUCACAAACCAAUCUUGUUACCCAUGAAUGAGUAAAUAAAAGAUCCCUCUGAAAUCUCAGAAAUUUGUAUAUUAUGAGCCAGAUUCUUAGCUGGUGUAAAUUGAGGUUGAUUUAUGCUAGUUGAGAAUCUGAAUAUAUGUAUUAAUAGAGUUAAAUUAGUGGUGGGGGGGGAGAUAAUGAAAGGUCCAUACAAAACAACAGGAUCUCAACUCCAUCGCUUUCUGAGAGAUUUCUAAUAUAUGAACCAGAUCCUGGUCUCAGUUAUAUUGGUAUAAAUCUGCAGUAAUUCCACUGAAAUCAUUUGGUCUCAGUCCAGAGUAGCUCCAUUGUUGAAUUUUUACUGAUAUAACUGAAAUCUGUGGAACAGAUGGAGUACCUAUUUUUCAUUCAUUUUGCAACAUAUACUUGUCUCUCAGUCAAAGCAAAUGAAAUAUAUAUAUUUCUCCUAAUGUGAUGCAUGCAUCAUACGUAUAUCAUGUAAGUGUCAGUGUAUAUGUUUUGUCCCAUACAUCAAUCAAGCAAAUCACACAUUAAGGUUGAUCCUAUGUCUGUGUGUAGACUGCACUAUUGAACACAGAAUCUGACAUAGGUCUAGGGAAUGUACUUCCUAUGUGAAAGAAACUCAGGUAGUUUCCCCACAAAUUUUGGGUCAUCCAAACAGGGCCGGCUCCAAGGUUUUUGCCGCCCCAAGCAG